rnacentral:rRNA from 1 species
CCGCACAAGCGGUGGAGCAUGUGGCUUAAUUCGAGGCAACGCGAAGAACCUUACCUGGUCUUGACAUGCCCGUCAUAGUUUUCCGAAAGGAAUUCGUCAGUUCGGCUGGACGGUGCACAGGUGCUGCAUGGCUGUCGUCAGCUCGUGUCGUGAGAUGUUCGGUUAAGUCCGGCAACGAGCGCAACCCUCGUUCCUAGUUGCCAGCGGGUAAUGCCGGGGACUCUAGGAAGACAAACCUCGUGUAGAGGUGGGAAGGUGGGGACGACGUCAAGUCAGUAUGGCCCUUACGACCAGGGCUGCACACGUGCUACAAUGCCCAGCACAAUGGGAUGCAACGCCGCGAGGUUGAGCAAAUCCACGAAACUGGGCCCAGUUCGGAUUGGAGUCUGCAACUCGACUCCAUGAAGUUGGAAUCGCUAGUAAUGGCGUAUCAGCAACGACGCCGUGAAUACGUUCCCGGGCCUUGUACACACCGCCCGUCACAUCAAGAAAGCCGGUUCUGCCCGAAGUACGUGAGUUAACCGCAAGGAGACAGCGUCCUAAGGUGGGGCUGGUGAUUUGGAUGAAGUCGUAACAGGUAGCC